GGGCCGGUAGUUCAGUUUGGUAUGCUGUGGAGGCCAAUGAACGCCCGCUUGGCAUGUGGGAGGUCGCGGGUUCAAAUCCCGCCCGGUCCACCA
rnacentral:tRNA from 1 species